rnacentral:rRNA from 1 species
UACAGAGAGUGCAACCGUUGUUCGGAAUUACUGGGCUUGAAGCGCACGUAGGCGGCGUUGUAAGUGUCGGGUGAAAUCCCACGGCUCACCCGUGGAACUGCCCGGCAUACUGCGAUGCUAGAGUGUGGUAGGGGAGAGCGGAACUCCUGGUGGAGCGGUGAAAUGCGUAGAUAUCAGGAGGAACACCGGUGGCGAAGGCGGCUCUCUGGUCCACAACUGACGCUGAGGUGCGAAAGCUAGGGGAGCAAACGGG